rnacentral:lncRNA from 1 species
AUGUUUGUUCAUGUCAUUAAUGAGGCUUAUGGUAAAGAGUGCAUGUGUCGAUCGCUCAGACUCACCAUUUCUUCAUAUUGUGUGAAUGGCAGAAUGAAGUUCAGUCGGAUCUCGCCCUCAUGUGGGGGACGCGCUCCUCUUCCUCUGCUCUUCUUUACGCAAAUCUCUCUAAACUCACUCAAAACUUUAUGUUUGUCCCCUCACUUUCGAACCGAGAAUGAUAUUAGGGAGAAGAUCAACGGCAGUCAUUUAUCGUUAAGAAGAGACACACAACUGAUUUUGAAAAGCAAAAAGAAAGCGCAGAGCAGCAGUUCUAGCUCUCGUCACUCGCGUGUAAAGCGAAAGAAGCCCGCUGCUGAAACAGAAGCUGUUUCGGUGGAUCCAGAAGCCCAGCGCGGGUUCCGCUGCUCCAGAUCCGCUCGUGUCGGACUCUCCGCCGGGACUGGAGCGGGACAGAAGUGGGUGGGUAGUUUGAAGCAGCGGGGUAAAUCUCUGGCUGUCCGGGAAGAGAAAACUGACUGUCUUACUCACUCCCGGCUAUUUCUUCUGCAUAGUCAGCUCUCUCUGACUGCUGCAUUACGUCCAAAGGAACAUGUGCGCACAGAGCUCGAUUCUCAAGAGUGAAGGCUGAGGAAAGUCAAAUGACAGACUUCUCCUUUGGACCAAUAGAAGCCCCUAAAUCCCAAGGCAGUCAUUUUGAUCAAGCCGAGUGCCUACAAGCCCCACUCACAUGUUUGGUCAAGAGGUAAAUAAUAGAUCAGGGAUUAAACUUGUGUAGAAUUUGUUCCAGGGUAACAAGCUGCACACUCCCAGGAUAUGCAUAUUCAUCUGAUGUGCAAGGCCAUGGCAGAGUAAAUACCAUAUGCCCGGUAGUUAGAGAGCAUAAAUCCCUAAUUAAAUGAGAUAUUACUGUACAUCGCUCCCUGAUAUUAAACAACAGAAGAGAGAAAAUAGACCUUUAAAGAAUUAUGAGUAAUGGAUAUGUUAGCAUGGUCACGUGGGUUCGGUAAUUCAGCGUUUGAUGUUUGAUGCAACUUCUAGCUUGUAGAUGUAGCGUUAAAUUGCUGUGAAAUCGAUUUUCUUGCAUAAUCUUAUGACACAUUUUUGAAUUCUUUUGAUUAUACUACAUGAAAUAAGCUCAAUGCAGUCGAUUAAACAUCGUUGCCAUCUUCUAAGCAACUGCGUACAAGAGUUAUGAACUCAGCAGCUUGACUCUUUUAUUUGCUCGAGAAAAACAUGACAUUAAAGCAGCUUCCUUUCUGAAAUCAGCUGCAAAAAGCCACUUGUGGGACCCCAGUGUAAGUAUUGGUUGAUGUCAGACCCCUUCCAGUUGUCUAAUUAUUCAAAGGGCAGUUGAUGAUGAGCUAUUGAACCUUGAUGUCAGACCCUUCCUAGUUGUCUAAUUACUCAAAGGGCAGUUGAUGAUGAGCUAUUGAACCUUCUACCGGUUUUGGUCCGUUGGGACGGCCAUCAGCUGUCAUAGACUGUCUGUCUGUUCGAUAAAUGCCACACGUAUUUCCUGUUUAUGGGCACUGAGGAGAAUGUCAAGCUAAUGGAGUCGCUCGACUUAAGAGAGGAGGCCAGGCGUGCUUCGCUCUACCUUCGCCAUCCACCCUCAAUACGGAAGUCAUUUUUUACCAUUGAUCUCUUCUCUUGUGUAAACUUUCCACACCCUAGAAGGAACAUCGAUUCGUGGUGGAAGGAAACAAAGUACGUAUUUGUUAGCUAUACGCUUGAUGCUUAUAUGCUUAUACUUUCAGAUGAUAAUGGCCGUGGACACCUCUUUGCACACAUGCAUAAGCAUAAACAAAAACAAAGGAGUGAAAAGGUUCUCUGUGUUUGCCAGGGGCUUACAUUAUUUGAGCUGCAUGAUCCUCUCAGGGGAAAUCUGAUACAGCCUGUAGGGGAAUCACUUCUCUGCUUUUUUCCCACAAUUCAACAGAGGCACAUGGGGCAAGCAUUGCUCCCUCCACCCAGCUGGCUCCCCUUUCUCCUCACAUCGCCCACAGGAAGAGAGCCCUCGUAUCAAUCCCCUCAUUAUCCAAACCCACUGCCUGCUGAAGACAGUUAGAAGGUCAUCAGAUGGAGCCAGAGACUCAUGCACGGGGGACAAAUGCUCAACAGUGGAGCCCGUCCUGGGAUGCGGCGCUCCGGGUGUGUUUGCACGCAAGCGGAUGGGCGCGUGAUGACAGGUUUGCCGAUGGGCGAGUGGAGAGAUGCAGAUCUGUAGGUUGCAAGCCAUUGCACAGAAUACAUGACUGACUGUCACUGCUAUGAAGGAGCUGCAUUGUGCCUCGCAGAGAAUUAUAUGUUUGUAAAGAGCUUAGAGCUCACUUUAUAUUGAGUGCACUGCAAAAAGUGCUAACCUAAAAACAGUAACAUCUAAUUCAUCUGGCUUUAUAAAAGUUUAACAUUAAUGAACGAACCUAUAUGCGUGAAUUUGCACCAACUAAUUUUUAUGUUUGAUCAGAUAAAAAUAGAUUUUUUUAAGUUAACAAUUGCAGUUGUCACUUUUUACAGUGCCUUCAACUAGUAUAUAUUAACAUUUAAAUUAAUAAAUAGAUACAAUGCUCUCUCUCUCUCUCUCUCUAUGCAAUACAGAGUAAUAUCACAUGGGUAGGCCUACUCGUGAUAUUUAGUUUAUAGAACAGUUCGACGGCACAAGUGUGUAAAUAAAUAAGAAACAACCACAGAGAGUCUUUAAAAACAUUUUGUAUGCAGAACUACUUCCUUCCGCCACGGAUUCAAGAACGUUACUUUAGAACGAGUGAUGAAGGAAUGUUUAGUUGCUCCAUUGAAAUCUUAUUGUAUCACUGUAUUAUAAAACGGUUACUUCCAGUCCCCAAUUCUGAGCUGUGUUUUAUUCACGAUAAAGCACGGCUACGACGCCUUCACCCAACGGUUCUGUGAAUCACUGCGCAACACCCUUAGCAACAUAAACAAUCAAUAUAUAAUAUGUGUUUCAUUAGCUGUUUAUAUGUAAGGAAGUAUGAGUCGACCCUGCUGGUGUUUGCUGUCCUUUUCACAAUAAAGCACGGCC